UAAGCACUUUGUACCAUACUGGCUGAUGGUA
rnacentral:piRNA from 1 species